ensembl:lncRNA
UGUAAUGACACUAAACAGUGAGGGAAGCAGAAAGAGAAGGUAAGUAGCCCACAAAGAUCUUUUUAUUAGGCAUAGUUUAUGGUACUGAGAAUUUGGUCUUAUCCACAGAACAGAGAUCAGUGUGAUGGAGAUACCUAAAAGAAUCCGUAACCCAAUCAAAAAAAGAAAAGUCAGUGAGCCAGUCACUGCCCUACAAAAUGAAGAACAAGAAGGUAAAUAAGUUUAAUAGUUUUGACAGUCAAUUGUAUUAAAGGCUUCAUUUAAAUUAAGUCUGUACGUCAAUAAGCCUUUGUGUGUCCCUUAGGCUUGCCUUGAACCCAUGACUUUUUGAAUUGCUGACACUGCCAAUUAAGCUAUGCUUGCUUACAGUGUUUGGGAAAUUUGUGGUGGUUGGAUGUUAAAUGUAAUGUGCAUAUGUAUUGGGGUUUAUUAUGAAUCAAAAAGCUUCAAUGUUGUAUUCCUAGUGACUAUUUAUUGACUUUGGAUUUAUUCUUACAAUUACAGGACUUUAUGUUUUUCUAACAUUUGAAGAUGGAUAUACUGCAAGAAUUUGUAAGACCUGCGACAUACUUACAGAAAAGGAGUCGCCAAUUACUAGCUUUGAGGGACUCAUUCCAGGAGCUCGAGUUCUUGCAAGAUGGUCAGACAACAAAUUUUAUAAUGCCACUGUAGAUCACAUUGGGUUCUGUGACCAAAAGCAGGACCCGAGAAAGGGUGCAAAGAAGGACAUAAAAAGAAAUUAUGCAUCUGCUGAAUCAUUUUAUAACCAGAAUCGGGUCGCUUCUGCACCAGCUGAACAUGGUCCUUCCUCUGCACUAACCCAGCCUCCGUCUCCAGGAUUGCCACCAACCCAACAUCAAUCUGUGCAAUUACCAUGCUCUGUUAAGCCUUUUAAUCCACAGCCCAUGACACCAUCUGAGUAUUGUAAUCAAGACCAGCCAGGUUUCUUAGAUUUAGAUGAACAUCAAAGACAAACCAUUACACAUAAUUCAACCCCAAAAGAAACAUUUUUGGGGCUUCUGUAUAACCCGUCUAUACCUCACCCCUCAGCUGAAGUUACAAUUCAGGAUGACCAGCUUGGGUUAGAGCCUGAGGAGUAUGAAGAUCCCACAGUCAGAUCACAGAAUUCUUCCUAUGAAAAUGAACAAUGGGAGCCAUGUGAAACAUGCAAGCUGGAGGUACAGGCAUUACUUAAAGAGAAUAAGAUGAUGAAAGAUGUGCUUUCCAGCAUGAAUCUUGAACACCUACAGGUACUCAGAGAAUUUAUAGAUAAGAUGGAAGACUACAAAUCACGUGAAAGUGGGGUGCUGAUGCCUCAAACCAGACCUGGCCAACAAGAACUUUACCCAGACAGUGGGCUGCUCUUGUCCUCUACCAAACUAGCAGCUAUUCACCAAGAGUCAAAGAAGGACUGUCUUCGUCUUUUCCAUCUACUGUUUGAUCAGUUCUUCACUCAUGAAGAAUGUUCAAACUCUGUAGCAUUUGGAAAGCAUGGCAAAGUCCCAGAGGGCAAGACAAUUUUUGGAUAAAAAGUAAAGUAAAUGGAAUACUAACUUAUGUCAUGAGCUGCGGCAAAUGUCAUGGAUGGAAACCAGUUGAAAAGUCAAAGCUGAAGAAAGCCCUUAUAAACAAGUGUCGCAUGAGAUCAACUUAAAUGUUUAUGUAAUUGUAGUGUUACAUCAAUGAUGUUGUGUCAUUUACUGGUAUUUUUAUUUUUGCUGUUUCUGUAUUUAAGUAUCUAUAUGUAGCUGUGCUGCAGUUUUUUUUUUUUUUUUAAAUGCUGCUUAUAAAGUGUAAAAAAGAAACUAUAUAUUUUAGUUUGAUAUUGUAGAAAACUUGUUUCUCUAAGAUUAAAAUAUGUGUCUUUACAGAGAUUGCAAAGUAUAAACAUAACUCAUGUGCAGUAUCUAACACUAUUUAAUUUUUUUUUUUUUUAUUUGAAGUGCCUUGUAAAAGAUUUCCAUAUUGUAUUUUUCUUGCCAUUGUAUUAAGCAUGAAACUUGAAACCUACAUGAGCAAAGAAAAUGUUAACCUCAUACUGAGCACAGUAAAAGCAGCCUAACGUCUGAGCAAUAAAACUUUCUGCAAGACACUAAAGAGCUCUUCCAUCUUCAUUUUAAUACAGUCUCAUGGAUGUCUUGUCUUCUCCAAAUUUACUUUAGUCUCAUUUAUGUCUAUUUGUAUGUUCCCUGGGCAAUUUUAUGAGGAAAAUGUGAAGUCAAAUCUGAAACCUAAAGUGGACACUGAUGAGAAUCACAAUCAUAAAUGCUGAGCUUAGUAAGAGCAAUCUCUGAGUGAAAACACUUUCUCUAAUUAGUGUUGAAAGAGAUUACAGCAAGACAAUAAAGAGAGUUUUAGGAGAAACAUCUGAGACACUGCUGAUACUACAACAAGAGCUAACUAAGAAUCUCAAUUAAGUGUCAGAUAUUUCUCAUGUCUCAGUUGUGUCUACUCUUAUUUCUCCUAAUCGAUUUUAGGAGAAACAUGGGAAGACAAAGCUGACACCUAAUUUAGACAAUAAAGAGAUAAUUCAAGCUUCUCUCACCACAAUCUCAGUUUUGACUCUCUUAGACAUCUCUCAUUUGCGUCUAUAUUUGUUUCUCCUAAGGAAUUUUAGGAGAAACAUCUGAUAAACAGCUGACACUUAAUCAAGAAACAUAGGAGAAUCACAACUAUGUCUCCUGAGCUUAGAAAAAGCAAC